rnacentral:rRNA from 1 species
ACUCCGGUUGAUCCUGCCGGACCCGACUGCUAUCGGGGUGGGGCUAAGCCAUGGGAGUCGCACGACCCGCCGCUGCGGGGAGUGGCGGACGGCUGAGUAACACGUGGCUAACCUACCCUCGGGACGGGGAUAACCCCGGGAAACUGGGGCUAAUCCCCGAUAGGCG